GGGCCCGUAGCUCAGCAUGGUAGAGCAGCGGACUCUUAAUCCGAAGGUCGAGGGUUCAAAUCCCCCCGGGCCCG
rnacentral:tRNA from 1 species